UUAGCGGAAUCCGAAAAGCUAUGACAGAGUAGGAA
rnacentral:ncRNA from 1 species